GGCUUAGAGUUUGAUCAUGGCUCAGGAUGAACGCCGGCGGCGUGCCUACACAUGCAAGUCGAACGAAGCGCCUUUUGAGAUUCUUCGGAUGAUCAUUUGGUGACUGAGUGGCGGACGGGUGAGUAACGCGUGGGUAACCUGCCCUGUACAGGGGGAUAACAGCCAGAAAUGGCUGCUAAUACCGCAUAAGCGCACAUGAGGACAUCCUCAAGUGUGAAAAACUCCGGUGGUACAGGAUGGGCCCGCGUCUGAUUAGCUGGUUGGCGGGGUAAGGGCCCACCAAGGCGACGAUCAGUAGCCGGUCUGAGAGGAUGAACGGCCACAUUGGAACUGAGACACGGUCCAAACUCCUACGGGAGGCAGCAGUGGGGAAUAUUGCACAAUGGGGGAAACCCUGAUGCAGCAACGCCGCGUGAGUGAAGAAGUAUUUCGGUAUGUAAAGCUCUAUCAGCAGGGAAGAUAAUGACGGUACCUGACUAAGAAGCUCCGGCUAAAUACGUGCCAGCAGCCGCGGUAAUACGUAUGGGGCAAGCGUUAUCCGGAUUUACUGGGUGUAAAGGGUGCGUAGGCGGCACAGCAAGUCAGAUGUGAAAGACCGGGGCUCAACCCCGGGGCUGCAUUUGAAACUGCCGAGCUCGAGUCCGGGAGAGGCAGGCG
rnacentral:rRNA from 1 species